CACUGCCUCGAUGAACUUCGCAAGGAUAACAGACUCAAUGUGCGAUUCUGCAAGUGUCAAAAGAUGAUUUAAACAUCUGUUCCAUGCACCAAAUCCCCCGAGUGUUUGGCUGUGCUUCUGAAGCCGCAUAGCAACGCUUUGAAGUAGUCGAGAGGUUCGAUACUGAAUGAAGAAGCUUGUGAGUAGCUAAUUAAUGAGAUGAAACACUAUCACAAGAAACAUGUCACACUGGAAGUAUGAAAGUGCAGCUGACCCGAAAAGCAUCCAGUUGGAAGCUAGGAUUCCGCAAAUGAUCUGUUCCUUCCCACCGAGCAGUGACUGGAUUCGACUGUGACAAAUAUGAAGCCAUAGAAUCUCUCAAGUAGUUCCAUGUUACUGCAAGGGUCCCUCCUUGAAACUUCUCUCUAUAUUGCUUUAAGAGGUCUGCUGCAACCUGCAAUAAAGGAUAAGAAAUGCUCAAAACACACCACCAUUAGACAAAUACUGUGCAAGUUGGAGUUGUUACCUGUUGCAGCAGAACUGUGUUGUCCCCUUCAAAAGUUUGAAAUAUAUCAUGGUCAUUCCGCAGGAUGCCAAAACGAUUCACAGCAGCAUAACCAUGGCCGCCACAAGCUUCUCGGCAUGUGCUAAUGGAUUUAGCUGUAUAUGAUGUCACAUAAGCUUUCAGACCAGCUGAAAGACAAUGGACAUCGCUAACAACAGCAUCAUCAUGUGCCUUCUUCAUUUCGGAAUACUUGUCCACCAAGUGAAGUGUUGCAAAGUGGAAGGCAUAUGCGGAUGCCAGCAUAGGCAUGAGCUUGUGCUGCUGAGAUUGGUAAUCCAGUAUGGAGACCUCUGGCUCCUUCGGAGGUCCAAAUUGCUGGCGAAGCAGAGAGUAUCUCACGGCGAUAGUAACUGCAAUCUUGAGAAUACCUACAGAGGAAUAUGCAAGGGCAACUCUACCUCCAACAAGCUCCCCUAAAGUAGCUGCAAAUCUUUUAUUGAUAGUCGGAAGACUACUCGUGUACUUUCCGUCGCGUGAGACAUCUCCAAAUCGGUUGAGUAGGUUAUCUCGAGGAAUUCUCACGGAACGAAACCUCAAAGCACCAUUAUCUACCCCAUUCAAGCCAACUUUGUGACCGCAAUCAUGAAUCUCGAUCCCAGGAAGAACUGAGU
rnacentral:lncRNA from 1 species